GUGACUCAUAAUGUACAGGACACUGGGAGCACAAACAGAGGGACAGCUUUUUAUUCAUUCACAUCUUUAUUGAUCAUCAAGUAUGGGAUAGACAGGCACAGGGUGGUGAGGAAAAGUGACAGUAAAAAUAAAAGAUCAAAGGGUCUUAGAAUCUUUACCAGAUACAAAAAUAAUAACUUCACAAUGGAAAUGUGGACUUAUGUGAUAACGAAGAAAUCAUCAAUGGCAAGAAACUAGUAGCUGUGACAUCUCAGCAGGAUAGAUAAAACACCAGGAACAAAGAAGAAAUCGGAGGCAGCUGCAGUUUGCCAUGGAGCUGGUGAGCCCAAGAUGGAAAGGAUGUAAGGAAAGAACAGCGAAGCAUGAGAAAUAUUAAGACACGAAGCACACAAUUCAAGCGGAGACUAGAUAGGAAUAUUCUCAAGAGAUUUAGAAGAAAUGACUCCUGGGGGCCAAGCAUUGUACAGAUUGAAAGUGGUUCCACUUUUUUUUUUUUUUUUUUUAAGUUCAAGGACCCUUAACAUCUGUGCCAACCUGGGAAACAGAUAAAGAAUUAUCAGUGCUUUGGUUAACCCAGUAAAGACUCGACUACAAAACAAAACAGAAAAUUACUAUCUAUUCUUAUUCUCAUUUUAUAAAGGCAAGAUCAUUUUAACGCCCUUUCUUCAAAGUUGGAAGGACACAAUCACUUUUUUUAUUUUUAUU
rnacentral:lncRNA from 1 species